AAGAUAGUAGUCUGUAGACUUUGUUAUAUGCUACCUUUUCAGCUCCCAACAUCUGAACUUCAUUUUGCUUAUAGGAUUAUAAACUGAAUUUUCUUUCGAUGGAGGUAUAGGAAAGUUAAUUUCAGUCAGGAAAGACUUCAUAAAUAAUUUCCUUUGUGUCCAACUGUCCAUCUAAAAACAAACUAUUGUGGUUGGCUUCCUAAAGAAUGCAGUAGUGAAACAUCUCCAUGUUCAGUCUGCU
rnacentral:lncRNA from 1 species